rnacentral:tRNA from 1 species
CAGCAAAUCAGUAGAAGCUCUUACAAAGCUUCGAAGACUUCUUACAGUCUUUGCUGA